CGUGAUCGCAAGACACUCCUGGCUCGUUUCUUGGCCUAGCGCUGGUGCAUUUCUGGUGUAGUGCACUGCGACCGUUAGUUCCGCUGGCAAAAGGCCGAUUGGUAGAAGACUGUGGGCCUUCGGGCUUGCAGUGCCUUGCCUUUCGUGUCCUGUCCUUGUUGGAAUUAACGGAUUACCUCUGUGCCCGCUUGCUCAUCUGGUGGGGUUAGUUGGUCGCAUGAAUGGCUGUUACGUGCUUGCACGUCUCAGCGACCCGCGGUCGGCUAUGCUUCGUCGCGUGAGAAGGCACAUAAGGUCUGCGGUGUCCGCGUCAGUCUCCCAUCCGACCCGUCUUGAAACACGGACCAAGGAGUCUAACAUGUGCGCAAGUCAUAGGGUGGAAAACCUGAAGGCGAAAUGAAAGUAAAGGUCGCUCACGCGGCUGAGGUGUAAUGUCUGGUUCUACCGGACCGCAACACCGUCCCAUCGCACCGGCCUGUCCGAGCGGUGGAGAUAGAGCGUACAUGUUGGGACCCGAAAGAUGGUGAACUAUGCCUGAGCAGGAUGAAGCCAGAGGAAACUCUGGUGGAGGUCCGUAGCGGUUCUGACGUGCAAAUCGAUCGUCAGACU
rnacentral:rRNA from 1 species